rnacentral:tRNA from 1 species
GAUUAAGAGCCCCAGGCAUAUUGGUUUCGGCCCAAUAACAGAUAAGCAUUUUAUCCUUAAUCU